rnacentral:lncRNA from 1 species
UUUAAGAAAAAUACUUUUUUGAGUUCUUCCUUUUCAUAUCACUUUUUCUCAUGUAUUAAGAACACAAAGUGAGCGUGCGAAUCAAAGCCAAAUAUGAAAGACCUACUCAUUCAUUUCUUGUAAUCGGAGAUACGCCAAGAAAGAAUUGUGAAGCUUUUGAGAGCUUGACAGUUAUAAAGGAGUAGUUCAAGAUUCACAUCCCA